AUCCAGUUGACGAGUCCCAAAUAGGGCGAAAUGCGCUUUAUCCUGGAU
rfam:Trichobilharzia regenti genome assembly, scaffold: TRE_scaffold0002509